UUGGUACAAAGAGAAGCGAAGCGGUGACGUGGAGCAAACCUCAGAAAGCCAAUCUCAGUUCGGAUUGUAGGCUGCAACUCGCCUACAUGAAGUUGGAAUCGCUAGUAAUCGCGAAUCAGAAUGUCGCGGUGAAUACGUUCCCGGGUCUUGUACACACCGCCCGUCAAACCAUGAGAGUUGGCAACACCGAAGUCGGUAGUCUAACCGCAAGGAGGACGCCGCCGAAGGUGGGGUUGAUGAUUAGGGUUAAGUCGUAACAAGGUAUC
rnacentral:rRNA from 1 species